rnacentral:rRNA from 1 species
UACGGAGGGUGCGAGCGUUGUUCGGAAUCACUGGGCGUAAAGCGCGUGUAGGCGGCCCACUAAGUCUGAUGUGAAAGCCCGGGGCUCACCCCCCGGAAGUGCAUUGGAAACUGGUGGACUCGAGUCCCGGAGAGGAGAGUGGAAUUCCUGGUGUAGCGGUGAAAUGCGUAGAUAUCAGGAGGAACACCGGUGGCGAAGGCGG